GUUAGUCAGGAGUCUCGAUCUCCUGACCUCGUGAUCCACCCAUCUUGGCCUCCCAAAGUGCUGGGAUUACGCACCUGGCCAUGUCACUGCUUCUUUAGAGAACAGUAUGGACAAAGAUUUUCUAUAUCCAGUGAUUACUUGGCAAACUCAAAAUCCACUGCAACUUGAAGAAACGAACUUCAUCUCAGCAGCAGGAACCUGAUGAGAUGUUAGGUUAGUCAUGUGUGGCCUCCCCUGUCUUGCAGAGGUCCUUCCUCUUUCAGACACUCCAUCACUUUCUUACCUGCUGGAUCAUCUCUGGAUGCUGCUGCAUGAUGUGCAGAAAGCGGUCGCUCUCCUGGUUCAGGGGUGUGGUCCUCUUCUUGGUGCUACGUGACAGCUGCUUGAAGAGGUAUGUCACUAUGUGGUCCAGGCAGGAGCAGCAGCCUGUGCAUACCAUGGUGUCUGCAAGAAAUAAAGGUAGGAGUAGGACAGAGCUGCUGAAGGUGACCUGGGCAAAUAUGGACUAUCUAUCUUUGGCUGACAUCCACUAAGGUCCGUCCUGUGGCCAAUUCAGCCAAGGCCACUGCUCAGGAGGACUCCUUGUUAACCUCUUACCCUCAUCGUACAGCUGGGCUCAAUUUCUAAGUUUGAAAGUGAAUAUUGGAAAUUAUAUAUAAAUAAAGAAUACUGAAAUUACUGU